UAGCUGUGAUGCGGGCAUGCGCUUAAAAGAUCCUUAAACCUCUCUCAGCAUUAGAAGAAGGUUUCUUCCUCUUUCUGCUAGAAAUUCAUAAUAGCCUUUCAAAGGGU